ACUUUUCCAGGAUAUUUCCCUAAAAAAGAAAAAAUCCAAUGACUUUCUAUACACAUGCUCAUAUCUGAGACAUACCUUAAGGUUGUCAUUAAAAAGCAUAACAUUCGAUGCUGCUGUCAUUAUCUUGUGUGAUGAAAGCUAAUCGAGUUACGCAGAAAGCAGAACUGUGAUAAAAUCUCAUAUAAAAGAAGCAUGCAAGCUCAUAAUGUUCUAAAGCACUGAUAAAUUAUUUAAUGUCUGGAACAUGUACUGGGAUAUGUGUUAGCGCAUGUUGAAGAAGUGAAGAAGAUAUAUUUAUUCUUAAAACAUACCAAAAAGUUCUACAGUAGUGGGAAAAUAUUCUGAAGUGGCUUGAUUAACAAAAUUCAGUGAUUGUACUUCGACUGAGUGAGAGUGUCAAUAAAAAACUUACCAGUAAACUUACUUAUUUUGUAUUGAUAUUUUUUAAAGCUAAGGUAUGCUGUUUACAAAGCUUAUUGCACAAUGUAUUAAUCUAAUUCUUUUUCGUUAUUAGCAAAUAUAAAUAAAUUAUUCUCCUUAUUAAUAAAUACAGUGUUCCUA
rnacentral:lncRNA from 1 species